rnacentral:rRNA from 1 species
AGGACGAACGCUGGCGGCGUGCCUAACACAUGCAAGUCGAGCGAGGAGAUCCUCGGGAUGAUCCUAGCGGCGGACGGGUGAGUAACACGUGGGCAACCUGCCUCAUAGAGAGGAAUAGCCUUCCGAAAGGGAGAUUAAUACCUCAUAACAUUGCAGUUUCGCAUGGAACAGCAAUUAAAGGAGCAAUCCGCUAUGAGAUGGGCCCGCGGCGCAUUAGCUAGUUGGUGAGGUAACGGCUCACCAAGGCGACGAUGCGUAGCCGACCUGAGAGGGUGAUCGGCCACAUUGGGACUGAGACACGGCCCAGACUCCUACGGGAGGCAGCAGUGGGGAAUAUUGCACAAUGGGGGAAACCCUGAUGCAAGCAACGCCGCGUGAGUGAUGACGGCCUUCGGGUUGUAAAGCUCUGUCUUCAGGGACGAUAAUGACGGUACCUGAGGAGGAAGCCACGGCUAACUACGUGCCAGCAGCCGC